UGCCCAUAUGAGUGAGGGGGUGUUCAUCUUUUACUAAAGUUGGUUUGGGUGACGUCCCAUGUUCCCUCACUAUUGGAACCCCACUAUUAUAGAGUCCACUUACGUACUAGAGGUGAGAUUGGUCAAUUGCUUCUUAUACCUCCCAUUAUUUGAAAAAAAUAGGGAGAACGAACAAAUUUGCCCCUCACCCUUUUAACUUAACCUAGGCUUCUUCUUUCUUUUUUUGGUUUUCUUGUGCACCGCGCGACACCUCCUCUUCCCCCCUCUUUGCCGCCCUAUACCUCCACUACUUCUUGCAUUUUUGUUUUCUUCAGCGUGUUUGUGAGUAGAAGGAGUGAAGAAUCACCCACUUCGACAAGGAUCCAAGAGGCAUGAAGAAGUGUGGAAAACAAGCUAUGGACAACUGAGGAAGACAACGUUAGUAUGACCAUUUUGUAAAACUGGGAGGUGCAGGAAGCAAACAAGGGUGCAGGAAGCAAAAGCCGAGAGAGAUCGUCUAUUCGGACGAAGCUAAUGGGCUACUUGGAUUUGUUUUCCCGUUUUUGGUGGAAAUGCCCUAAUUGGGUAGGGGCGUUCAACCAACAAAUUAAAAUUAUGAUUAGUAGCAAAUUAGUGAAAAACUGUCUCACCAUCGUAAAUACGACAUGUCAUUGGAUGUACGGAGUGAUGUUUCAAUAAAAAAAAAAAACGAAGUGAUAUUACAUGAAAAGAGAAAAACCCGUAAUCCUAUAUACAAUUUGUGAGAGAACGUUGCACAAUUUUAGGGAUGAAGACAUUCUAUGGUAGCCCAAUUGACUAUAUGCAUUGUGUUGUCACGAGAUUAUGUGGAACUGGGAUAUUAUGUAUUAUACUAACAAUUAUUAAUAUUAAUUUCUGAUUUUUGCUAACA